AUAUCAUUCUCGAUUUUUGAAUAAAAUGAAGUGUAGUAUUUAUUCCUAUCAGUUUAAUAUCUGAUACAUGGGCUAAUGGCCCAUCCAAUAUUAAAGUUAUUUUUUAAGGGGAAAAGCCCACCACAGUAGCUUGCUACUGGGGCCUUUAAGUGUCGCCCAAGCAUUGCACUAAAGCACGGCCUGGCGCACCCCAU